rnacentral:tRNA from 1 species
GAAGGUAUAGCUCAGUGGCAGAGUACGUACUUAGCAUGCAUGAGGUCCUGGAUUCAAUCCCCAGUACCUCCA